GCUCAGCAUUAGCUUUUAUUCAGGAAAAAUCCACUUCGUAGAUUGAAAGAAGGAUAAACAUUGGCAGACAAAUUGGUCCAUCUUAGGAGCAGUUUUACAAGAUAAAUGAAUGCUUGUUUCUUUUAAUCCAAGAACUAUGGUGCAACCUGACAAAUCCUAGGCACAGUGUAUCAAACAGCCACAACAGGUUCCUUGGAGAGCUCACAAAUGACAUUUCUUCACAUGCAACUUGAUAAGUAUAAUUCCCAAUUUCCAACUUUUCCUGUAUUGCUUCAUAUCUAAUCUAAUUCUUUUUUCAAGAAUUGUUCUAUGCCUCUUAAUAUAUUGUUGGGAAUUUGCUUUUAGGCUCUUGGGUAACAGGGGGAAAAUGAAUUGCAAUCUAGUGGAAUCUUGACAAUAUAACCAUUACAUUGUGCAUGCCACAGCCAACAAGGAAAGUAAAGAUGAAGAGAGCAGCAUUUGAUUCUGGUAAAUUGUUCCCUUCACAAUUUUGCUUUUGUAAAAUAAAUACAGUACAUGAAAUAGCAGUCUAAGGAUAAUCUGCUAGUUGUUUUAUUCAAUGAAAAGCAGAAGUAAAUCAUUCAAUUUUGGAAGAGCUUGACAUUACUGUGAGCAUCAUUUGCAAGAAGAGGCAAUUAUUGUUAUUUUUCAAACAAUUAUUUGAUACAUUUAAUAAAUUAUACUUACCAGACAACACUUAUAAAAUGUAGCCCUGUCAUUAGGCAAAAUACACAACUCUUAUGGUUAGGAAAUGACUGCUUUCUCCUUUCUAAAUUCGGAACAAUUACUGAUAAAAAAUUAAUUUUAGCUUUUGAAAUGAUGACUUGUUAUGGUUGUCAAGCCUUAAUUAUGUGCAUAUUACCUAGAAAGAUGUGUAGGUACAGUUCAACAAAAAAGGAAGUAAUCUUGACAUGAACGCACAGCCCAGUGAAUAUUACAAAAUAGCUCGCUAUUUGCCCUAUGAAGCUACAAACUCUGUAUAGGCCUCCUGAAGCCCAUUUUCUUUCCAAUAUACCUUCUCCUAGCCUUCUAGGAGACAUUUUACUUGGUCUUUUCAUGUUGUCUGCCCUUAGCUUUACGUCCUAAGUAUCCAGAAAGGCAUAUAGCAAGGUCUUGCAUCAUUCUCUCAGCUCCGUAUUGGAAGUGUUGCAGUAGAUUGUACUUAUUCUUUGCAGGAGAAGGUUUAAGUCUUACCAAUUAUUAAAAGGAAACAAUUCUGAAACAUUUAGAGAGUUUUCUUGCUAAAAUUGACCAAAUCUCAGAGCACAACCUCUGAGUUCACACAUAAGUCUGUCUCUUUACUGAUUUAAUCACAUGUAGUAAGGUCAAAGAAAGAAAAUGGGAGAAGAAAGAAAAUCUCAUCUUGCCACAUUACCCAUACACAACAUAAUAUUUUGAGUAUUUAUUUAACAGCACAUUUGCAAACUUAACUGCUACUUUAAAAUACCUUUUAAAAUUUCACACAUAUGUAAGAAGAGAACCUACAAAGAGUAUAUAAAGUAAUAAAAGUUCAAGAUGAAUGUGGAGCUAAAAAUAGUGCCAUUUGAGUUAAAGUGUAUUGAUGAAGCAAAAGUCUAUUCAAAAAGUAUGAUUAACUCAAAGAUCUCCUGUUACAAUAUAUUCCUGUUCCAGUAAUAAUAAAUAGUGUAAGGGCCAACGGGAAAGUUCCCCUUUGGUCUCUGAAAGUUCACUGAAAAAGGAACUCAUAAAAAGCAGAUUCACUAAAGAAAAGGCAUACAAAUUCAUGUAACAUGUACACAUGGGAGUCAUUAGAAUGAAGACCCAAAGAUAAAGGGAAACUUGUUCAUUUUUAUGCUUAGAUUCAACAAAGUAUGAGCAGCCAGGUAAAAGUAUGAUUGGACAAAACAGUUAUGAUCUAAUGCUAAUAGACUGAGUAGGGAAACGAGGCAGAGCCUGUCUGUCUGGAUUCUUCCUGGGCUCUCUGAGCAUGUAUUCCUUCCUUCUGGGUGUAGGGUAGGGUCUUCUCUGGAAUGAGGGUCUUGUGAACUACAGUUAAACAAAGUAGAUCUCAUAAUUUUUUUUUUUUUUUUUUGAGACGGAGUCUCAUUCUGUCGCCAGGCUGGAGUGCAGUGGUGCAAUCUCUGCUCAUUGCAACCUCCGCCUCCUGGGUUCAAGCGAUUCUCCUGCCUCAGCAUCCCAAGUAGCUGGAACUACAGGGGCACAUCACCACGCCCAG
rnacentral:lncRNA from 1 species